rnacentral:rRNA from 1 species
AGCAUGUGGUUUAAUUCGAAGCAACGACGAAGAACCUUACCAGGCCUUGACAUGCAGAGAACUUUCCAGAGAUGGAUUGGUGCCUUCGGGAACUCUGACACAGGUGCUGCAUGGCUGUCGUCAGCUCGUGUCGUGAGAUGUUGGGUUAAGUCCCGUAACGAGCGCAACCCUUGUCCUUAGUUACCAGCACGUUAUGGUGGGCACUCUAAGGAGACUGCCGGUGACAAACCGGAGGAAGGUGGGGAGUGACGUCAAGUCAUCAUGGCCCUUACGGCCUGGGCUACACACGUGCUACAAUGGUCGGUACAAAGGGUUGCCAAGCCGCGAGGUGGAGCUAAUUCCAUAAAACCGAUCGUAGUCCGGAUCGCAGUCUGCAACUCGACUGCGUGAAGUCGGAAUCGCUAGUAAUCGUGAAUCAGAAUGUCACGGUGAAUACGUUCCCGGGCCUU